AUGCUGAGAUCUGGGCCAGGUCCUGCUUCCUGCCCAUUGCCAAGGCAGAUACUUCGUUUGGGAGGUGACCCAGAGGGACAUCUGAGAGGCCUGCCUGUCCCCGAAAGAUGUAGCUGCUGGCCUUCACACUCUGCUCCGGCCUCCAUCAGCUCCUUCCUACCUGCAAACUGCCUGCUUUUAUGUUGCCAUCGUUGGAGAUAUGUUAGGAACUUCGUAUGGAGCGACCCCCAUAGGACGAGCAGAUCGUGGAAAGAUCUAUACAACCUGGCAUUUGGCCGUGGCUUCCAGGACAGGCUGGAUGCAGAGUGAAGUCCUCUCCUCACUGUAAAUGUUUGCAGAUGUCUUCUUGUAUAAACUUCGUAUUUCUUGAGACUUUCAGUUAGGUUUUUACUUAACUGGACUUUUAAAAUUGCCAUGCACAUAACUCUACCAGUUACAAUCGUGAGCUAACAUGGGUUUUUGGUUUUUGGUUUUACUUUGAUGAAUGUUUAAUAUUUGCAUGCUAGAUGUGGGGGUGGAGGUCAUUUAUCUGCUUUUCAUUGCCUUCUGGGUUAUACUUAGUGACUUUCAGGUAAGGUGUGGAAGGCAUGCUACAGGAUGAAUUGCAGGCUGCACUGUGGCAUCAUGGAGGACAGGCGCGGGCUGUAGUGGUGUGUAUAGUGGAUGAGAGACAAGAGACUUCCAUCCUCGAGGGGAACACAAAAAUUUAAAAA
rnacentral:lncRNA from 10 species